rnacentral:rRNA from 1 species
CAUCCGCUCUUUUAAUGUGUUUAAUCGAGAUACUUCAUUGUGAGAGUUUUGAAUGCAAAUUCAAAACUCUCACUAACGUACUCCAAAAGGCUUGGACAGGAAAGAGUCCAAAAGGCUUGGACAGGAAAGAGUCCAAAAGGCUUGGACAGAUUUGUGUCCAAAAGGCUUGGAUAGAUUUGUGUCCAAAAGGCUUGGACAGAGAGGGUCCAAAAGGCUUGGACAGGAAAGAGUCCAAAAGGCUUGGACAGGAAAGAGUCCAAAAGGCUUGGACAGAGAGGGUCCAAAGUACUUAAGGAGGUUUGAAUCUUAAACUGUAAGUUUAAGAUUUAUGGAUAAUCGAACGAAGUGAGAUUAGACAUAUUAAGAGAGCGGAUG